rnacentral:rRNA from 1 species
UACGUAGGCAGCAAGCGUUGUUCGGAGUUACUGGGCGUAAAGGGCGCGUAGGCGGUCUGCUAAGUUGGAUGUGAAAACUCUGGGCUUAACCCAGAGCCUGCAUUCAAUACUGACAGGCUAGAGUUCUGGAGGGGAUAGCGGAAUUCCUGGUGUAGCGGUGAAAUGCGUAGAUAUCAGGAGGAACACCGGUGGCGAAGGCGGCUAUCUGGACAGAGUCUGACGCUGAGGCGCGAAAGCUAGGGGAGCAAACAGG